rnacentral:rRNA from 1 species
AGUGAACGCUGGCGGUAGGCCUAACACAUGCAAGUCGAACGGCAGCACAGUAAGAGCUUGCUCUUACGGGUGGCGAGUGGCGGACGGGUGAGGAAUACAUCGGAAUCUACUUUUUCGUGGGGGAUAACGUAGGGAAACUUACGCUAAUACCGCAUACGACCUACGGGUGAAAGCAGGGGAUCUUCGGACCUUGCGCGAUUGAUUGAGCCGAUGUCGGAUUAGCUAGUUGGCGGGGUAAAGGCCCACCAAGGCGACGAUCCGUAGCUGAUCUGAGAGGAUGAUCAGCCACACUGGAACUGAGACACGGUCCAGACUCCUACGGGAGGCAGCAGUGGGGAAUAUUGGACAAUGGGCGAAAGCCUGAUCCAGCCAUACCGCGUGGGUGAAGAAGGCCUUCGGGUUGUAAAGCCCUUUUGUUGGGAAAGAAAGGCAGCAGGUUAAUACCCCGCUGUUCUGACGGUACCCAAAGAAUAAGCACCGGCUAACUUCGUG